rnacentral:rRNA from 1 species
AACGAACGCUGGCGGCAUGCCUAACACAUGCAAGUCGAACGAGACCUUCGGGUCUAGUGGCGCACGGGUGCGUAACGCGUGGGAACCUGCCCUUAGGUUCGGAAUAACUCCCCGAAAGGGGUGCUAAUACCGGAUAAUGUCUUCGGACCAAAGAUUUAUCGCCUUUGGAUGGGCCCGCGUUGGAUUAGCUAGUUGGUAGGGUAAAAGCCUACCAAGGCGACGAUCCAUAGCUGGUCUGAGAGGAUGAUCAGCCACACUGGGACUGAGACACGGCCCAGACUCCUACGGGAGGCAGCAGUGGGGAAUAUUGGACAAUGGGCGAAAGCCUGAGCCAGCAAUGCCGCGUGAGUGAUGAAGGCCUUAGGGUUGUAAAGCUCUUUUACCCGGGAUGAUAAUGACAGUACCGGGAGAAUAAGCCCCGGCUAACUCCGUG